rnacentral:rRNA from 1 species
UAUGUCUGUCGUCAGCUCGUGUCGUGAGAUGUUGGGUUAAGUCCCGCAACGAGCGCAACCCUUGUCCUUAGUUGCCAGCACGUAAUGGUGGGAACUCUAAGGAGACUGCCGGUGACAAACCGGAGGAAGGUGGGGAUGACGUCAAGUCAUCAUGGCCCUUACGGCCAGGGCUACACACGUACUACAAUGGUCGGUACAGAGGGUUGCAAUACCGCGAGGUGGAGCCAAUCCCAGAAAGCCGAUCCCAGUCCGGAUCGAAGUCUGCAACUCGACUUCGUGAAGUCGGAAUCGCUAGUAAUCGCAGAUCAGCUAUGCUGCGGUGAAUACGUUCCCGGGCCUUGUACACACCGCCCGUA